GGGGAUUGUUUCUGUUGUUCACCAGGGCUGUUGGAUCUUUAAUCUGCAUGGCAUGUGGCAUGCUGUGGUGAUAAGUGAUCCCUUGCCUCUGCAAUCUUCACAGCCCUGGGAAGCUUGCUUCUCAUUCCUUCUACCUGCCUAUUCAGAUUGGCUGGAACCUAUGCUCACUCCUGCUGACCCAGAGGGACCCAGGCUCAUCUGGUGUUUUCCACCAGGGAAAGGCAUUUAGAUGACCUGGACUCCAGUCUCUGGUGGCCAGACCGUCCGCUACGCUGUGUUGAGAACGGGCUACACAUUCCAUGCCAUGAAGGUCUCCUGUGAGCGGAAAGACCCAAUCUAGGCUUCAGCAGCAGGGUGACUGUCCCAGAGCUUGGGAUAAGAGCAUUGAUCUGAGGGUGAGGGUGUGGGUGCAGAUGUGGCUGUUAGAGGGCCCAGGCGCUCUUUCCAUAUCCAGCCACGAGAGACACUGAGGCCUUCCCACAAAUCCAACAGCCAUAGUCCUAUUUGUUAGACAUAGAUAAGUUCACUCCUGAAGCCCUCAGAGGCCUGCUGCUGAUGCCUGGGGACCCAAGACAUUUGGUCUGAAAUCAGAGAGGUACGGUGUCAAGGGAGCAAUGCUUUUUCUGAAGGCCACCCACCCAGUGUCCCUCCAGGUAAAAACCAAAGCAGCAACCACACCUGGCCACUUUUUAAAGGGAAGCCACUUCCCCCUGGAGGUUCUUUAUCUCUUAGUCUUGUACUCUCCAGCCUGGAGUUUCACAAAUGGGUCAGGAAGAGAUCUUCUAGCUUCUUAGGCUCUUCUGCAUUUAGAACUAGGUAACUCAGGUCACGAGCGACAUCACCGUGAAGCUGGAGACAGGAGGCUCGUCUGGGGUUCAGGGUAAGUUUGAGGCCAGCUUGGGCAACCUUUUCAGUUUGCCUCGAAAUAAGAAAUAAAGAAUUUGAAAUGUGGCAGCCCAGGAGGUGGUAGUGCACACCUUUAAUCCCAGCACUCAAGAGGCAGAGGGCAGAGGACAGAGGGCAGGGGCAGAGGGGCAGAGGCAGGUGAUCUCUGUGAGUUUGAGACCAGCCUGGUCUAUAGAGUGAGUUCUAGAACAGUCAGGGCUACACAGAGAAACCCUGUCUCUAAAAACCAAUAAUAGUAAUAAUAAUAAUAAUAAUAAUAAUAAUAAUAAUAAUAAUAAUAAUAAUGAUAAUAAUAAGGUUUGUUGAGCUGUGGCUCAGUGGUAAACUACUUGUCUAGGAUGUAUGAGACCCUGAGUUCAGUUUCUAUCACCAACUAAUGACGAACAAAAAAAUGACUAAUGAAUUUAGAAAGCCCAUUCUCUCCUAAGCUGGCUCUCCAUUAAGCACACAUGUGUUUGAGGGCAAUUCGACCCCACUGGCUGUUUAAAAGGAGAGACAGCUGUUUAUAAGGAUACGCCAGUCUGCUGUGAUGGGAGCUAGGAGCAACUCGGCUAUGGUAAUAUGGCGACACCUGCAACCAAUACUGAGUCGGUACUCGAGUGGGAGACCUCAGAGGUGGCCUCAGCAUGGAUUCAAGUAAACAUUAUGUGGAAGCUAAUUCUCCUGGGACCUGUCACGGCAAGGUGUUUGCUUAAAUUUUCAAAAGCUCUUGGCACUGAAUUCAAACGUUUUUAAUGCAACCUCUUUCCUGGGUCAGUCCCUGCGUGUUUUGCCUCCUUCUGUCUUGGAAAGGCUUCAUUAAAAGGCUGGAGAGAUGGCCUAGCGGUUAAGAGCCUGUGCUGCUCCUAUAGAAGACACGAGUUCGGUUCCCAGCACUAAUGCAGCACUCUGCUGGCCUUUGAUCUGAUGUUCAGGACCACAGACAAUGAGGCACACCAUCCGACCGCUUCUUACACAGAGUUUGAGCUGGGCUAGCCUCCUGAUCAGAUGAACCCAAGCCCGAGAGGCUGAUGCUCUGCCGAGGAAAAAAAGCUGGACGUAGAGAAGUGUGCGCAGAGUACCUGGCGAGCCAUUUACUCACGGGAGAGCUCCAUAGACUGCUUUAAAGAACUCGGGUAGGAAGGGUGGGGGCUGCACAGCUAACUCCCAAAUGGAUUUUGCAAAGCCUGAAGACAUAGACUCAAACCCUGGACAAUGAUGCUUCAUCAGUAAGUUUCACGUGGCACCAGGGGCUGCCAGCUUCGGACUUUGUCUUCAAGAUGAAGGAGACAGGGAGCGGAGUGGACAGGGCACGGGUCUAUGCCCCCAUCAGCUGUGCUGACCUAGCUGUCACAGGCUUCUGCUUAGACUGCAGGCGGGCGGGCUACAGAGUCCGUGCAAGCUCCCUAAUGUCCCUCUGUCUUCCACAUUUCCUUCCUUUCUGAAAGUGGCUGAGGAGUUGUGACAAGCUGUCACAUGUAUUGCCUUCCUUGCUCCUGCCUGGCUGACAAUCAUGGGCAAUCCUUGCCUGCAGAGUCCAGUCCCAGUCUCCGCCUCAGUCCCCAAAGUUCCUCUCCUUCUGUCCUUCCGACCCUUCAAAUUGUCCUCUUUGAUAAGAUCAGCAGGUAUAUGGCUGCAGGCUAUCCUUCCCUAGUGUGGCCUCAUUCUAACUGAGCUGGUCACAUUGGACCUGUCUUCAAAGAGAAGUCACAUAAUGAGAUCCUGGAAUCUUGACUUAGGGGGAUGUGGUACAAGUUGUUCCUCACAUGUUGCUUAUGAGGAACUUUUACUGGGGUCUCCGGUGCUGGGUGAGGUGACGUUUUUCUAAAGGUUGAUUGGUACAAGUGUGUUGUGUGUGUCUUUGCUAUCCAGCCUUAGUUCUGAGAAUGGGCAGUGCUACCAGGCCCCACCCAGGAUUCCCUUGAAUCCACAGAUAAAAGACACACACACACACACACACACACACACACACACACACACACACACUUGUUAGCUUUCAAUUUGCCUUCUUGGCACAAUUGCCGGGCAUUAUUAAACUUCUGCCUAUAGGAGCAGCCACAGACCCGUCACUCCUCUCGAGCCCUCACAUGGCUGCUUGACUUUUCUCUUUCUAAAGCAUGGCAAACUCUCUCCCUUGUGUCUGUUUCUCUUCCUCCAGGGACCCGGAAGUCCCACCCAUUCCUCCCACCCAGCCCAUGGCCUCUUUACUGACAGAUCAAGAACCAAUCAGGAUAGCAUCAGAACCAUCCCUACACCAGUGACUUCCCCUUUCAGAAGCAGGUUUCCUUUUGGUAUAGUCACAUGGGAUGUGAGCCACUCAUUGUGUGGGUCACGAAAAGGAGCAGAUACACAAUAGAAAAAUCCCGUUGCCAUACAGGUGGAGGGUGGGUUCCUCUCAAAGUAAUUCCAGAUGAGACUCGGUUCUCAGAAUUCCCCAGAGGAUACUUGGCCAUGCCUGGUGAAGUGUCUGGUUGUUACUGCUAGAUACAGUGUAGUAGGAAAUUAUAAUCUUAGCCUGUAUAAAAGACACACAAUCCGGGUAUUUUAAGCCAUAUUACUAGAUUGGGCAGAUCAAGGGCUGUACUAACUUACUUCUCAGCUAUAAAACCCCUUGUUACUUGCUGUUUCUCCUGGCCACGUGGUUCUGGUCCAGGGUAUCUUCCUCCUCUUCUCCCCUCUCCACCCAAAACCGCCUCUCAUGAACCUCCAGUCCUACCUUUCUCCCUCUACUGCCCAAUCACAGGCUCUAGCCUUUAAUUGAUCCGUUAAAUUGGGGAGAAGGUUCACACGGCGGCGUUACUUGAGUGCAUGAGGACCUGCUCGUCCACAUUUUGAGGAAACAGUAUUUAUCAGCAGCACUAAACCAGCUCAUUACAUUGUAGCCAAGUGCCCAACAUCCAGGGAGAAGGUCAAGGUAUUUGGUUGGUCGAACCCCAGAUACUCAGCCCAACUAGGUCUUCACCAAAGAUCAAGGCAGGAAAAGGUUAAGGAAUGAGUCUGACAGUUAUGUCUGGGAAUCUGGAUCAUACUGAGGAGGGCAAGGAAAGUGGAAAUUCAUUUGCCAGGAAGCCUGGCCUUCAGACCACUUUUCUUCUCUGUGGCAGAUGUCUUACUUGCCUCUCCCAGGAAGUAAAGCCCCGGCAUUGGUACCUUAUCAUCUCCCUCCCAGAGAGGGAAUGACCUCCUGUUUGCCGUGAGCAAAUACUGCCUCUCACUAAGGUCCAUUUUCUCAUAUUGUAAAUAGGGGUAGGGAAUGGAAAACCAGCGGGCAUUAAGUUUUUGUGCUAAGUGGAUCUGUGACCGGCUUGGGAGGGAAGUGGUAUCACUUACUUGACUGGAAAGGUCAGAAUUGUGGAGCUGGUGGGGAGGAGCUGCUCACCAGAUGGCUGCCCAGCCGUGGGGUCAGCACUUGACUUGCUGUCACCAGGGUGGGGUGCUAGCAUCUUCAACAGCCGUGCUGCAGCCAUACUGAAGUGAGAGGCUGGAAGAACACGCUUGAAGUAGACACUGGAGCCGGUGCCCUGUGCAGCCGACUCCUGACAGGCAGAGGAAGCCGUCCUGGGCCUGCCUGGCCAUUUCCACUUCACAGCCAAGCCUGGGAGUCAUUUGAGUGAUAGAUUUAUUUUGUUAGCAGCAACUUAUAAAGAGGCACGGUUUCAGGACGGACCGUGUGCCUCAGGGGCUUCUUAAGAACUUAAGGUCAAGGGCUAGGGCUGUAGCUCAGUGGUAGAGCAUUUGCCUAGCAUACACGAGGCCAUAGGUUCAGUUCUCAGCGCUGCUGGAUUAAAAAGAAACACAGAGUUUGAGGAUAUCCUCAUGCCUUAAAGCAAGCACUUCACCAACCAUGAGCCAUUUAGCAGUCCCUGAGUCUGACUUUUGUGUCCUUUAGACUGAGUACUUGUAGGGUCAUGGUACCCAGGCUGUGGGUUUCAUUCACAAACAUGAGAUUUCAUGCCCAGCUCCCGUGCUCUCCACCUAUCUGCUGGUCUUGGCAGAGUUACUGAGGAGCGUCCUGUAACAGGCAAGGCGUUGACAACUUCUAGCGUGUUUCUGGGCACUUGCUAUGGAUUUAGCAAAAUGUCCAUCUGGGUUAUGUCAGUUUGUCCAAGCUUCAGGGGUGCUGCCUCUGGCAGCCCCUUGAAAAGAGUUACCUAGCCUUGACUUUGAACCCACCCACAGACGUAAAUCACGGCUGAUUUUACUAUGCCCCUUCCUUUGAAGGACUCUCCCAGCUGGAUUAGCAAAUGUUCCUUCUCCUACAAGGUCCCAGAAAUGGUAUCAAUGGUUGUCAGUGCUCAUAGGAUCUGGAGUACCAGUGGUUGACGUGAUUCUGUCACCAGCGGAUGGAAGCGGACUCCCGGCAGCUGUGUUUGUUCACGUGGGGAGGUGCGGCUGUUGGUGAUCGUAAAAUAUUAUGAUCCCAUAUGUCUCCCCAAAUCAUAACCGUGGAAGUGCCUGCCUUGCUUUCAUCUGGUGUGCGUGUUGUCACCCUGUUAAGAGCUGUCCUCGGUGAGACAAGGAGGGAGGGCUCGGUGGUGGACUGACUCGAUUCCAAGGACACAGGUUCAAACGCAGUUACAGGAAGCCCAGGCUGGUAUCUGGAUGUUGCUGCUGAGCCUCAUCUCUGGGUGAUCUCGACCACCAUCAUGUUCUUUGAUGAUAGAUGGGUUCUCUCCAGGUGCUCUCUGUAGGGCACUGAUGAUACAUGUGAUGUGUGUAUGUCUCGUGCUCUAUCAUGCUCACUUUGCAAAUGGAGAAACUGAGUCAUGGGAGGUUGAACAGAAGCUUAGUUUUUUUCUUCCUUUUAAUCUUUUAUCAAAUUUAAAAAAGUGUGUGUGUGUGUGUGUGUGUGUGUGUGUGUGUGUGUGUGUGUGUGGCGUGACUGCCAUAGCAUAUAUUGUGGAGGUGGGAGGUGAACUUGUGGGAGCUUCUGUGGUCUCCAGGGAUGGGACUCAGGUUUUCAGGCUUCCCAGCAAGUAUCUCUUCCUGCUGGGACUCCUUGAGACUUAAAGCCAGCUCUGGAAUACAAGAGCUGGAGGGAGGCAGUUUGGUUCAGCCUAUGGUGUUGUUCUUAUGAUGCUUCAACCAAGGCAGAGGUGGCAGUAUUGUCUGUGGACAAGUCCUGGGAAGGGAAGGGGCUUGUAAGCGAUUAGUUAUCAUUAUUAUUUUUUUUCUUUUCUUUUUUUUCGGAGCUGGGGACCGAACCCAGGGCCUUGCGCUUGCUAGGCAAGCGCUCUACUGCUGAGCUAAAUCCCCAACCCCUAGUUAUCAUUCUUUAAAGACAGCUGUGUCUGAUUCUCUUGCUGUAUUGUAAGUCACCCCAGGCCUGUGUCUUGAGAGGAUCCCUACUCCUCAAUCCUUUGGGUCAAGAGCAGUGACACCUUGGACAGGAUCUUACUCUGGGUAUGACAUAGACUUCCAGGCAAGCUGUCACCUGGAGUUGACAAUGCCCUAGAGGGACCUCUGCUCCUAUGCUCACUCUGAAGUGAUCCACCUUCACUCACAUGACUCUGGUGGCUCUGGUAGCUAGACACUGAAAGCUGAGAUGGGGCAGAAUUAAUUCCUUCCUGGCUGUGAGGGGAUAUUAUAGCCCCUCAUGGAACUUCUAGGGGUUGCCGGUUUGUAGACACAGAGCCUUUUUUUCUCAACGGUCUUCCUAGGACAUUCCUCCUGGCAUGUAUCCAUGUCUAAAUGUCCCUUUAUCAUAAGGAGUCCCAGUGUGUUGUAGGGAGAGCUCUCUCUCCUGCAGGACUUCAUCUUAACGGUCAUGUUUGCAGCAGCCUGACUUCUAAACGAGGCUGUCUCUGGGUGGGUCAGUGGGUCAAUGUGUGACUUUGCAUGCAGGGAACUCAGGGCAUCUGGGCAUCUGACAGCAGGCCAUGGCUCAUCUGUGUGGAUAAGGUCAUAGAGUCUGACAAGGUGACAGGCAUCUCCUGGCCUUGUGGCCAGGCCUACUGCUCUCACCCUGACCCUGGUUUCCAUCUCCAUUCUUUGUCCCAAUCCUGCUGUCCAAACUUUACCAAGAUUGAAUCAACUGGGGGGGGGGGGGGAGAGGAAGCGGAUGCCAAAACUGCUUGCUCAGCACUCUGCCUUGCAAGGGAUGCAGUCAUUGAGUAGCAUCCUAGAGCAGGGCUAGGAGAGAACUGUUGGGAGCAUCUCUCCAUCUCUCCUUCAUUUCUAGGUAUAUGGUCUGGAAAGCCGCACCUUGCCAUGGCCCUGUAGUGUAGAACCAUUAGACUCCGUUCCUCCCUUUUCUGAAGACUACCCAUCCUCCAAGCUCUUCCCUCUUCUCUGUCUUCCUACUCUAGGCCCUCCCAGAGUCUCCCUUUCCGGAUCCCAGCUCCUCUCUUCUUCCCUCACCCCAGCCUACCCCUCCCAGUCCCUUCCUCACACCAGCUCCUCCUGCCUUUGAUCUUUUCUCACUGCAGCCACUCUUUCACCUCAGCUUCUCCCUCCUCCCAGGGGGGACUCUCACCGGGCUCCUCCCUUCUUCCAAGUCAUCCCUCACUCCACUCCUCCCCAGCCCCAUUGUGCUCAUGCACCAUAGUUGCUCAGACAGUUACCUCUGGUGUGUGAGCCUCCUUGUUGGGACCUGAGCUCUGCCCACACCCUUCUGAAUAGUUCCUUCAUCAACUGUCUGGAAUCCCAGCCGCAGGUGCCAUCUGUCCCCCGACAGCACCGUCUGAUGCCACUUCCUGAAUUCCUGUCAUCUGUGGGGAGACGAGUGACAAGAGGGUAAGGUGGAUGUUUCACAAACAGAGUAGAUUGCGGGUCUCAGGGUUCUUUGCAGCCACCUGAGUCACUGGGUAGGAAGCUAUUCUGAGCUCGUUCCUUGUGUCUUAGCUGUUAACGAAGAUCCGGCUACACAGAGCACAGAGCGUGUAUCACCAGGGGAGGUCUGCUAUGGUAUUCAAAAGGAAAAAAAAAUCUUUGUGUUAAAAAUGGAGCUGUUCAAAGCUAAGACACGUGUGUAGCAGCGUAGCCUAGGCCAGGGAUUCUAACUCCAUAUUACCGCUUUAGAUUCCUUUUUUUUGCCCAAAGUACGGGACUGAUGGGGCAAUUGCCUCACCAAGUAGUUGUCGUGACAACCACAGAGUUUUCCUAUUGGGCACCACUUAGCCUGACUUGAUACCACCACCAUAUUUAUGGAAGCCACCCUUGUCCAUUGACUUUUGUGGUUAUAAUAAGAGCAGCUGCCAGUGAAUUCUACCAGAUAUAAAGUGUGCUAUUUCCAGGGUCUCUGACUGUGUCUCUUUCAUGGCUGAAGCUAUUGGCUUAGGCAUGAGCUGGCUUUUUUUAAUCUACCAUCCCAAGGUCAGAGCCAUUCCAUUAAAAUGCCUGCUGCUAAUCAGAAGCCAGCUCCAGGUAGGCUUAGUUUUAGAUUUUAAAUACCUCUGUAUCAUUUCUGAGAAGUAUUGCUCUCUGGUUCUUGUGCGUCCCACAGAAAGUGUUUCCUCAAAUAGAGGCCCAGCCCUGACUGUGGAUGAAUGUGUGUAUGCCUGGGGGCCGUGUGCACCUUAGCGUUCCGUGGGAUGUGCUUUCUCUCGAAGUAGAGGGAGAGGUCUCCAAGGGCAGCGGAGUCAGGGUGGAUGGUUCCACGAGCAAGCUCUGGGGUCAGAACACUUGGUUUGAAUCUUGGCUCUACUGUCACCUUUCUAUGUGACUCCAGCAAGUUAGUGAGCUCUGCAUUGAUUUGCUAUCCACCAAAUGGGGAUGAUGGUGGCACUGGAGCCAUGGAGUCAUCGUAGACUUCGAGUGAGUCAGAGUUUAAGAAACGUAAGACGGUUCAGGGUGGGUAAGGGUGUCUGCUGCUAAGCCUGAUGACCUGAGUUCGGUCCUUGGGAAUUCACAUUGUAGAAGGAGAGGACUGACUCCUCGGACCUCCACACAUGCACCAUGAUGCAUGUAUGUGCACAUGCUAGUGUGUGUAUGCGCAUGCGUGUGUAUGCGCAUGCGUGCACAUGUGCACAUGCACCCACACGCACAAAUAUUUAGUGUGUUUUUGCUCAAGAAUACCUUCGCAGCCAGCUUUUUUUGUUUCUGGCUCAUUUCGUGUGUGUGUGUGUGUGUGUGUGUGUGUGUGUGUGUGUGUGUGUCUACAUGAGUAUGCAGGUAUAGAUGCACAUGUGUGUGUGUAUGGUAUACACAUAUGUGCAGGUAUGUAGAAGUCAGAGGCUAAUCUUGGGUACCUGUUUUUAAGUAUCCUCUGCUUUAGAUUCGUUUUAUGUCUUGAGAUCGAGUUUCUCUCUUCUGGGACUCACCAAGCAGGCUAGGCUGGCUGGUCAGAGAGCCCAGGGGUCCCUUUUCCCACCUCCCUAGCACUGGGAUUGCAAGCAUGUGCCACCAUGCUGGCCUUUUUUCGUGGGUCCUGGGCAUUGAAUUCAGGUCCCUAUACCUUAAAGCAAGCACUUCACCAAGUGUGGGCCAUUUAUCAGACCUUGAUUCUGGCUUUUAUGUCCUUUGGACUGAGUACCUAUUGCUGGGCAGUCAUACUUGUAGGGUCAUGGUAGCAGGGCUGUGGGUUUCAUUCACAAACAUGAGAUCUCACCCCAGCUCCCGUCCUCCCUACCUGGUCUUGGCAGAGUAGCUGAGGAGCGCCCUGUAACAGGCAGGGUGUUGACAACUUCUAACGUGUUCCUGGGCACUUGCCAUGGAUUAGCAAAAUGUCCAUCUGGAUUAUGCCAGUUUGUCUCCAGAAAAGCUCUGUGAGGUAAAUAAGACCCUCAGGAACUGAAGGUCACGGUGGACUGACGUAAGAGUCCCUGGGGACUGUAACUGGGUACCACUUGGACAGUGCACAUGACUCUGUCAGUCUAGAGCAGUGGUCCUCAACCUUCCUAAUGCUAGCAAAGAUGCUUUAACACAGUUCCUCAUGUUGGUGGUGACCCCCCCAAACCAUAACAUUAUUAUAAAUGCUAAUUCAUAACUGUAAUUUUGCUACAGUUCUAAAUCAUAAUGUAAAUAUCUGUAUUUUCCAAUGGUCUUAGGUGACCCCCUGUGAACGGGUCAUUUGACCCCUUCCCCGAGAGGGGUCUCGACUCACCAGUGGAGAACCACUCACUGGUCUAGGUGCUCAGAGAGGUGCUGACCACUGUUAAGGGUCAGCACAGACAGAAGACUGUCAUGGAUGCUUGCCCGUGGAUUCUUCUACUGACGUUUGUGCUGCCCUAUCUUACUGGCUGUUUGUGCCGUCUGAGUCAUCAGGCAGAGGUGAAUCCUUAGAGUCAGGAUCAAGUAUGUACUACUGCUCACUGCACCCUUAAGAUGGCUCUGUGGAUAGAGGACUUCUGCUCUAACUAUAGCCUUCAACGUCACCAUUACUGUGGGAAGCUUCCCCUACAGUUUAGCUAAGCCAUUUUCUGAGAGUGCUCUUUAUCAUUGUAUUGAGGGGAAGAAAAAAAAACCUUUUCUUUUACGAAUAUAUUUACUUUCAGAAAGAAGAGGUAAUUUGUGGCAAAAGUAGCUUGGCAUUCAUUGUGGGGACAUUUGGCUGAUUUUGGUGGGCCGACAUGUUUUCUGAUGGUGCUGGAGAGGUGGGUCUGUGGUUAAGAGCACUGGCUGUUCUUCUGGAGGACCCAGGUUCAAAUCCUAGCAAGAUGUGACAGCUCGCAACUGUCUGAAACUCCAUCUCCCUCACACAGGGAUACAUGUCUGGGGAUCAACCCCCCCCCCCCACACACACACACAGAUAGACAUGCAGGAAAACCACCCAUUCACAUAAAAUAAAAAUAAAGGAAAUAUCAUAUAAAAAUGUCUGCUGACGCUUACCCCACGGAAACAAACAAAUCCAGAGAAUGUGGGCUCUUUGAGUCAUUCUGUCCCACACAGGUGACAGGAACAUCCUUUAUAGUAUCAGCAACUCUUCUCCCACCCCACCCCAACCCCAGAGCUGAGGACUGAACCCAGGACCUUGUGCUUGCUAGGCAAGCGCUCUACCUCUGAGCUAAAUCCCCAACCCCUUAGCAACUCUUCUUAACUUCACUCCCGGGGCAUGGCAUCACAUCACAUGGAUGAGGAAAAGAGAAGCUGGAAUGAUUGGGUACAAGCCACGCUAGGGCAGCCUUUCUCAAAUCUCUCCCAUACCACGGUGAGUUUCUAGCAUUCGUCUCACAUCUCAAAAUGACGGGGCCCCGUCUUAACCCUAUCCAGGAUGCCUCGAUAGCCUAGAUUAGUAACCUCCCUUCCCUCCAGCGUGGGAGCUGUCAUCUUCCAGUUUUGCUGCCUGGCUGGGAGGCUUCUGUGGGCUUUAUUGUGCCUUAAGGCCUUAAACUGCCUAAGCGCUUUCCUCAGGAAGUCUUAGUGCGAGACGAAAACCUUAGACAGGCGUAAAUCGAGAUUCGCCUUCCUAAACGAUUUGUACCGCCAUACUUCCGAGCCACCUCCUCACCACGGUGGUUUAGCUAGAAGACUCAUGCAACACUAAAGGGGCAUACACACACGUGCUUAAGAAUGUAGCUCGCUGUCUUUAGAUACAGUCUGGCUGCUCUGAGCUCUACUGCCUAAGGGGAGAGCAAGGAAAUCCUGAUCCCUCAGCGGCUUUAGCUGUGAAGACUCAGGAAAAAAAAUGCUGAGAUUUUGCAGCUUGCUCUCCAGGUCUCGCUCUCUGCAAAAGCAGGUACAAGAAAAAUUUCCUUCUACGUAUGGGAUGUUCACAGCAGACCGCUCCACUUACCAGUACCAGGGGGCAACAGGAAGCAGUUGCUCUCCCUAAUGCUGCAACCCUUAAAUAUAGUUCCUCAUGCUGUAGUGACCCCACCCAGCCAUAACAUUAUUUUGUUGUUACUUCACAACUGUAAUUUUGUUUCUGUUAUGAAGCAUGAUGGAAAUAUCUGAUACACCAGGAUAUCUGAUAUGCGAUUCUCAAAGGGGUCGCGACCCACAGGUUGAGAACUGCUAGAAUAGAAGCACAGUGGGCCUUCAGGGCUCCCUUCUUAUUAUCAGCAGAGGUGACUGCUCCUGGGGGGGCGGAUACUAAGGCUGCUGACACUUUCAGCUCCCCUAGCAUGACCAGGGUAUCUAUAUGAAUUGUCACAUUUUCAGAGUGUGAGUUAAUAAAUUAAGCACCAAAGGAUUCUUUCAUACAGCUGUCAUGUGCAUGUAUGCAUGCCCGCAUGUAUGCACGUGUGUGUGUGUGUGUGUGUGUGUGUGUGUGUGUGUGUGUGUGUGUGUGAAAAUGAAUGAACCCACCUGUAGCUAUGGCCACACGUAGUUUUGCCACCUUGGGAAUGUUGCCUCUGGAGCAGAAAAAAAAAAAAAAAGAUAAAAGCCAAGUACGCUGGCUUUAAUCCCCUCCCUAAGGAGAUGGGCAGGUUGUUCUUUGUGAGUUUGAGGUCAGCCUGGUUUAUAGAGGGAGUUCCAGGUCAGCCACGGCUACAUAGCGAGACACUGUGCCCCUGCAAGACCCCCCCAGAACAGAAAUAAGCAACAACAAAAAUGUAACAAGAAAGUUGGCAGGAAGAAACAAGCCGUGGUUCGGUGCAUGAUUAAUGGUGUCACCAGUGCUGUGGUGUCCCUGCUCCUGAUGUGGAGCCUGAGUCAUUCUGAGUCAGGCUCGCCCAUCUAUCACUCCUUCCCGGCUCUGCUUCACAGGACCACAGCUGGACCUCCAGUAUGGGUAGCCUCCAAUAAGACGAGAAGCCAAGUCACAGCAAAAAAAGGAAAAUCCAACAUAUUAGCAUUGGGGGGUGCUUAGUGGAAUGUACUCUCAGUACGAUCGGGUUAGUAUGAAGUCACUGCGAGCUUUGAACAUUUCCUGUUACCUCUCUUUUCAUAGUAUGUCUAGAGACCCAUGCUUAAUUCAUGACCUGGGGCACUGGGGCUGGCUGCCCAGGGGCUUCUGCAUCUGCUGAGACCCAGGCCCAACGUAACGUCUUAUACUUCUGUUGUACUCCCUGGGCUUCGGGUGUCAGGGAGUCAGAACAACAGGUUCUAGCUCCCUGAUCACCUUGUUUUCCGAAAAAGUCUCCUGGACCAAAGAGAUGUCUCAGUGGGCAAAGCACUUCUUGCCAUACAAGAAGUAUCAGGGCCUGGGUUGGAACUCCUAGAAGCCACGGAAAGCUGAACAUGGUAGUCCAUAUUUAUAUUCCCGGUGCACCUAAGGAGAGACAGGACACAAGGACUGGUCUAGCUUGGCAUACAUGGCCGCGGAGAAGAACAACACUGUCUCAGGUGAAGCGGGAAGGGAGGCAUGACAGCCAAGGCUGUCCUCUGGUUUUCCUAGGAGGGGCAGGAUGUGUGUGUGCCGAAUUCACGUAGGCAAAUGUGCAGCACGCACAUAAAAUACACAAUUUAAACAUUUAAAAACAAAGAAAACAUUUUAAAAGCUAAAGAUUAAAAUGGUAUAGCUGGGAGAAGAGCUCAGUUGGGAAAGUGCUCACCCUGCAAACGUGAAGACCCGAGUUCAAUUCCCAGCACACAUAUACAAUGCUAAGCUUGCAACCUGCUCCUGUGAGGCCAGGGCUGGGAGACAAAGCCAGGGGGAUUCCCUAAGGCUCUCAACCUAGCCCACUCGGUAAGCUCUAGGCCAGCCAGACACUCUUUCAAAAAUGGUGGGCAGACCCGAGGAACGACCUGAGGUUGACCUCUGUUCCCCCUAGCUCCCAAAUUCCAAAUAGCAUUGUUGGGAAAUAAAGCUGUUAGAUGUGGUCUGGUCCAGAGACAAUCUCAACUACAGCCACAGAAUAAAGCAACAUUUGCCCCAAGAGAUAGAACAUGCUUGAACCUUGUCCUAGCAUCUAGGAGCUUCAUGUGACACAUUGCUAAGGCUGGGCACUGCUUGACUCUGUGGCCCAGGGAUUCGAGGACUCUCUGGGUCACACCAUUAGUCCCAGCCAGCUCUCCUGUCUGUGCUGAGCGCAAGGCCUGCAAGCCCCCAGCCAACAGAGCAGCCUCCCUCCCCCCCUCCAGCCCUCUCAGUGUGCUUCGAGAACAAAGGACUCUGUAUCAGAAUUGAAAUCUUCAGACUGGAACAUUGCCUGCUCUGGUCUGAGACUCUCAGGAGUGAGCAGCAUGCUAAGGGGGCUGAGGAAAAGAGAGGGAAGGGUGAUGGAGAGAGGAGUCUGUAUUAGUCAGGGUUCUCUAGAGUCACAGAACGUAUAGGUAGUCUCUAUAUAGGAAGGGAAUUUGUUAAUGGCUUACGGUCUGUCGUCUAAAUCCCCAACAAUGGUCAGCAGCAGCAGUGAAUGGAAGUCCAAGGAUCUAGCAGUGGCUCAGUCCUACAAGGCAGGCGGGCGAAGAAUAGAGAGGCUCUUCCUUCUUCCAAUGUCCUUAUGUAGGCCUCCAGCAGAAGGUGUGUCCCAGAUUAAAGGUGUGUACCACCACAUCUGGAUCUGGGACUUGCUUUGUCCCAGAUGACCUUGCCUUAGUCUCCUGAGAUUCAUAGCCACUGUGCCUCAAGGUCUCCAUGCCAAGAUCCAGGUCAGAAACUUGUAUCUCCCAACCUCAAGAUCAGGAUUCCAGGCGAGCCUUCCAGUUCUGGAUUGUAGUUCAUUUCAGACAGAGUCAAGUUGACAACCAGGAAUAGCCACUGCAGAGUUCCAAGGCAGGCCUUCUGGUGGCCAGACUCUCCGUAGCUCACUACCUUUGAGGAUUCCACACUAGCUUGGUGGUGCCAUCCAAAGAAGCAGGUAGGGCACUAUUUCGAGCUUGGCUCUGAUUGUGCAACUGGGAGCUCCAGGGUGACAGCCUCACAGAGAACAAAGUCUCACGUAGAACACAAGGCAUGUCUUCUCUAUAGGGUCUCGGAGGGACUGGUGUGAGGUAGACAGAAAGUGAAGGGAGUGAGGAUGGAGAGAAGGGGGGAAGCCAAGCUGCCUAGACCAAGCAUGGCAAGUCUUCCUGGUGUUCUCUGACAGCUUCAAGAUGAAUGGUAGAUCAGCAUAGGUGGUCUGGCAGCUAAGCCAAAUGCCGGUCACCCUCAGUCAGCAGCAACCUUGGUGGAUUCCUCUGUCUUGAAAAAUUCACCAGAGUAUAUUGGCAAUAAGGAUGGCUUGCUACCUUCUUUUAUUAAGGAUGUAUUUUAUUUUAACUAUGUGUCUGUGUAUCCUUGGGUAUGCAUACAUGUCCCGUACAGGUACCCAUGGAGGCCAGAAGAGGGUGUUGGAGUACCCAACCCUCACAAUCGGUUGGGUACAAGUUGGUUACAAGUGGUGGGGUAGCAACCAAAUUCAGGUCCUCUGCCAGAGCAGUGUGCAUUCUUAACCACUGAGCCAUCUCUAUAACUCCCACUUCUUGCAAGGGAACCCAGCCUCCAGAACUCUUGGGGAUGGUAGCAUUCUUAACCCAGUGUCAUCUUGCAAGAUGCAUCAAUGUCCAGAACUCUUGGGGAUGAAGUUGUGACUUGCCCUAUCUUGAUUUUAACAUUUUGAUAAUAUUUCUGUCACUCUACUGUGCUGUCUCCUUGGGGUCCUAAGUCCUGGGAAAUGGGGAGUUUUUUAUUGAAGAGAAUGCAAGCUCCUCCUUGGUCAGCAUGGGAUAAUUCCUUGUGACAUAGCCUGUGUUUUCCAGUUCCUAGCUCAUGGGUGCUGGGAAGGCCCUUUCCCCUGCAAACUCAUAGUCUCUUUACCUACUGUUGGUUUCGUCGAGUCCUAGCAUUUCUCAGCAAUGUGGUAGUUACAGGGUUAAAUCUCUGAGCUGGAAUGGUCACCCCAUUUCCUUUAUGUUCCUAGUAAUGUAAAGCGUCGAAGGUAUAUUUCUCUCAUACCGUAAGACAGAUCCCCCCCAAACAGAAGUGAAUAUGUAUGUGGGCCCUUGGCUGAUCCAUGUCUAAAAAAAUUUAAAACUAACAAGUACUAGAAAUUGAUCGAAUCAACAAGAUAAUGCUUUAUGUGUAUAUAAAGUAAGGCUUUUGGAACUAAUAGGGCUGUGCGUUGGCAAAAGUGUGGGACAAUAUGGAGCCUCCGAGAGGGGAGGUGGAGCCGUUCUGGAACUCCAAAUAGUCUUGUAUCUCCCACAGAGUGGAAGAUUAAAGGACAACCCUGGGGGUGGGAGACAGUAGGGAGAAACCUGAGGGACAAAUAGACAAUAUGGUCUGGGCUUCAUUGAACAUAUGGCUCGG
ensembl:lncRNA